rnacentral:piRNA from 1 species
UACCAAACCUGAUGACCUGAGUCUCA